rnacentral:rRNA from 1 species
UACGAAGGGUGCUAGCGUUGUUCGGAUUUACUGGGCGUAAAGCGUGCGUAGGUGGCUUUACAAGUCAGGGGUGAAAUCCUGGGGCUCAACCCCAGAAUUGCCUUUGAAACUGUAAAGCUAGGGUAUCGGAGGGGAUAGCGGAAUUGCUAAUGUAGAGGUGAAAUUCGUAGAUAUUAGCAGGAACACCGGUGGCGAAGGCGGCUAUCUGGACGAUUACUGACACUCUGGCACGAAAGCGCGGGGAUCAAACAGG